rnacentral:misc_RNA from 1 species
UGAGGGGGAAAUCUCUGAAUCUGUGUC